ACGCGAGCCAGCUGGCAUUCUCAAGGUUCACCGAUUGCCUCGCCCUUCCUUGCGCCAUUCCCACUGGCGACGCGGCGUUUGGCGCAGCCCGGAGGCAAGGACUGGGGAGAAGAACCCGAUUCCAAGCACAAUGCCACGGCCGACCCGCUUCCUCUUGGCGUUGGUGGUGCUCAGUGCGGCGGCCGCGUGGGUGGGGGACGCCGCGCCGCUGAAGGAGGAGGGGGGGGCGAAGGAGCUCAGUGUGAAGUGUAUCUUAUGUAGUCCAGGCUGUCGGCCAUGCUACAAGCCUGACCAUAAUAACGACUGUCGCCCUAUAUUCAACUGCACUCCUUGACGUGGAACUUCCCUCGUCAAAAGCAGCGUCUGUGGGUGCCUGGCAGCUGGAUUCAAUAAAUAUAUUCUUUAGAAGAGUCAGUAAUGAAUUUAUAUAAAAAAGGAAGCAGAAGAAGGAGAGGCGGUAAAUGGAGAGUUCAUGUAUAAGUAGUGCAAUAAAUUUGUUAAGAGAUAAUA